rnacentral:rRNA from 1 species
AGAUUGAACGCUGGCGGCAGGCCUAACACAUGCAAGUCGAGCGGUAGAGAGGUGCUUGCAUCUCUUGAGAGCGGCGGACGGGUGAGUAAUGCCUAGGAAUCUGCCUAGUGGUGGGGGAUAACGUUCGGAAACGGACGCUAAUACCGCGUACGUCCUACGGGAGAAAGCGGGGGACCUUCGGGCCUCGCGCCAUUAGAUGAGCCUAGGUCGGAUUAGCUAGUUGGUGAGGUAAUGGCUCACCAAGGCGACGAUCCGUAACUGGUCUGAGAGGAUGAUCAGUCACACUGGAACUGAGACACGGUCCAGACUCCUACGGGAGGCAGCAGUGGGGAAUAUUGGACAAUGGGCGAAAGCCUGAUCCAGCCAUGCCGCGUGUGUGAAGAAGGUCUUCGGAUUGUAAAGCACGUUAGUGGAGAAGGUUAGUAACUUAGUACGUUGCGUAUUUGACGUUACCGAA